UAUGAAGGGUGCAAGCGUUGUUCGGAAUUACUGGGCGUAAAGCGCGCGUAGGCGGGUCUGUAAGUCGAUUGUGAAAGCCCCGGGCUUAACCUGGGAAUUGCAGUCGAAACUACAGAUCUUGAAUGUCUGAGAGGAUGGCGGAAUUCCCGGUGUAGUAGUGAAAUACGUAGAUAUCGGGAAGAACACCUGAGGCGAAGGCGGCUAUCUGGCGGUACAUUGACGCUGAGGCGCGAAAGCGUGGGGAGCAAACAGG
rnacentral:rRNA from 1 species